GACGAACGCUGGCGGCGUGCUUAACACAUGCAAGUCGAACGGAAAGGCCCUGCUUUUGUGGGGUGCUCGAGUGGCGAACGGGUGAGUAACACGUGAGUAACCUGCCCUUGACUUUGGGAUAACUUCAGGAAACUGGGGCUAAUACCGGAUAGGAGCUCCUGCUGCAUGGUGGGGGUUGGAAGUUUCGGCGGUUGGGGAUGGACUCGCGGCUUAUCAGCUUGUUGGUGGGGUAGUGGCUUACCAAGGCUUUGACGGGUAGCCGGCCUGAGAGGGUGACCGGCCACAAUGGGACUGAGAUACGGCCCAGACGGCUACGGGAGGCAGCAGUGGGGAAUAUUGCACAAUGGGCGGGAGCCUGAUGCAGCAACGCCGCGUGCGGGAUGACGGCCUGCGGGUAGUAAACCGCUUUCGCCUGUGACGAAGCGUGAGUGACGGUAAUGGGUAAAGAAGCACCGGCUAACUACGUG
rnacentral:rRNA from 1 species